GACGAACGCUGGCGGCGUGCUUAACACAUGCAAGUCGAACGAGAUCUUCGGAUCUAGUGGCGGACGGGUGCGUAACACGUGGGAAUCUGCCUUUAGGUAAGGAAUAACUCAGGGAAACUUGAGCUAACACCUUAUAAUGUCUUCGGACCAAAUAUUUAUAGCCUAAAGAUGAGCCCGCGGUAGAUUAGCUAGUUGGUGGG
rnacentral:rRNA from 1 species